AACUUGUGUAUAUGCAUCCCUUUAGCCGCAAAAUUUGAAGUCGCUUGACUUACAAGAGUUAUGUGGAGAACAUGCAUUAUCCCUAGUUGAAAAAAUGAAAGAACAAGUUGAUAUGGUUUUUUAAAAAUUAUUAUUUUACUAAAGAAGAAUUUAAAAAAAAUAAAGAGCUUCUGGAAAAAAUGGAUGUACUUUGGGAAAAAAGAAUUUUCGUGUUUGAAUGGACGGAGCUUUCGACUUAAUUCAUUGCGGCCAUAUAAAUUCUUUUCGUCAAGCAGAAGCAAUUUGGAUCGUUUUUGUAAUAAACUCGGAUCAGUCUCUCUUUGGAAAUAAAGGAACCCCCCCCAUUGAGAGAACCACUGUUGGGUUUGGCUGUAAGUUUGUGGAUGCCUUGGAGAUUAAAUUCCGUACAUAAUGAACGAGGAAUACUUGGAGCAAAUAUUCCCUAAGUAUAACCUCGGCUACGUAGUACAUGGCGACCAUGCCUGCUUGGUCAACGGAAAGGAUGUGUAUGCAGCUACAAAAAAUGGGGAAAAAACAAAACAACUCCCCUCACUGAAGGAAUUUCAACGACGGAUCUCGUUGGCAUAACGCUGCAUUGAAGUACAGAAGACCAUUACCCUUCCGGAAUCUCAGCGCCUAUUCGGUGAAAACCGAAACAACAGGAUUCCGGGUUACCAUGCAGAUAUCCCCUUUGCCUUCUUCGGAUUUUCGGCCUCCAAUGGAAGAAGACACUAUUGUGUACGUCCUUGGUAUACAAAUUUAGUACAACUCCCAUAAGACACGAAUGAAGCAGUUAAAGGUCGAUGGGACUUGUUUCACGCAGGACAUUUUAGUAUACAAAUCAGGUCAUCAGGUAUCACAGCGGAGAAGGUUACCCUAUCACCAACCUCCAGGAAAGAGCCCUGUCCGUUCUGGGUUGCAGGUACGUUAAGGAUAUACUGAUUGGCUCGCCUUGGUCGGUAACAGCAGACAUGAUAGUUGUAUUAAAAGUAGAUUUCUUCAUUGCUGGAACGGUGAGGUCGCUAGAAGGCAGUGCUUUAAAAGACGAGAGGAAUUUGGCAACUAAAGAGGCAGGCAAGUUUGCCCUUCUGGAGAGCGAGUCGGUAGGUAGGUGCUUAGUAAUUACAACCCAAGUUCCAUUUUUUAAACAUAGUAGCUGGCGGUGUAUGUAAUUGUCCGCAGAAUAGAAUGUAGAAAGGAAGAACUCGGAAAGAAACAUGAAGAAAAGAUAAAGCGGGAAGAGGAAUACUACAACACACGUUACAAACGAACAGAGUUUUAACCUUUACCACAUAAUAAAACAUUUAAAGCG